CGGUCGCCGCCACCCGAGCCG
rnacentral:miRNA from 1 species